rnacentral:rRNA from 1 species
GAUGAACGCUGGCGGCGUGCUUAACACAUGCAAGUCGAACGAACGACUAUUAACAGAACCUUUCGGGGCGAAGAAUAUAGAAGUUAGUGGCGGACGGGUGCGUAACGCGUGGGUAAUCUGCCUUUGUCAAAGGAAUAACUAUUCGAAAGAAUAGCUAAAACCGUAUAACAUAUUAAUAGGGCAUCCUAAUAAUAUCAAAACGAUAGUGGACAAAGAUGAGCCCGCGUCUGAUUAGCUAGUUGGUGAGAUAAAGGCCCACCAAGGCAACGAUCAGUAGCCGACCUGAGAGGGUGAACGGCCACAUUGGAACUGAGACACGGUCCAAACUCCUACGGGAGGCAGCAGUGGGGAAUAUUGCACAAUGGGGGGAACCCUGAUGCAGCAACGCCGCGUGAGUGAAGAAGGCAUUCGUGUCGUAAAACUCUGUAGUAGGGGAAGAAAGAAAUGACAGUACCCUAAAAGAAAGCCCCGGCUAACUACGUGCCAGCAGCCGCGGUAAUACGUAGGGGGCAAGCGUUAUCCGGAAUAACUGGGCGUAAAGGGUGCGCAGGUGGUUUAACAAGUUAGUGGUGAAAGGCAUAGGCUCAACCAAUGUAAGCCAUUAAAACUGUUUAACUUGAGUGCAGGAGAGGAAAGUGGAAUUCCUAGUGUAGCGGUGAAAUGCGUAGAUAUUAGGAGGAAUACCAGUGGCGAAGGCGACUUUCUGGACUGCAACUGACACUGAGGCACGAAAGCGUGGGGAGCAAACAGG